ensembl:lncRNA
GUGAGGCCGUGCUGCCCUGCAGUGUCCUGCGCUGGGCCGGGCGCCAGGCUUUGGCACCAUCACACUGCUCCCAACUGUUCUCUGUUUGCUGGGGAGGCACACUGCAGGGUCGCAGAGUACCCCGAAGGGCUGAGCAAGCAUGAGCUGGUUUUCUCAGCUCUUCCCUUUAGAGGGCGAUCCUACCACACACAUCUUCAGCGUGCGAACUUCUGCGAGCUGCAGUGCGAGGUGAAGCCGCCCAGAGGUCAGCAGAACGUGGUGCCUGUCCUGGAGCUCUGCAAACCUACGGACGUGAAGGGAGCUGCAGUCUGGUCUGGGCAGUUCUGGCUGAAUGUGUUCUGCUUCCUCAGGCAGUUGCCAAGCUGCUCCCAGAGGUUGUGAGUACAACUCCAACAGCCCCCGGAUCCUUGGAGAGCUGCCCACAGAAGGCAGAGGUUCGUGUGCCUUUCUUCCUGAAUUAACCACCAACACGUGUGUCACUGCUUUGCUGUUGACCCCACGCCUUUGCUGUUGCAUAAAGGAAAGGACAAGAUAUGGGACGCAAGGAACCUUCAGGAUGCCUUGGGAAUGGAGGGGAUGCAGCCAGUUUGGGUCCUGUCUCUUUUGGUCCAGCAGAAAACCGUGUGUGCGAUCAGAGCUGGGAAAGUGCUCCUGCUGGCUGUAAUUAGGGAUGUCAUUGCAAAGCAUUAUCUCACAGAGCUGGAGCCUAUACAGAGCCAUACGUCCUCCGUAGCCAAUUGUGCACGGAGGUGAUGGGAGAGGGAAGGGUGCUGGGAACGCUCUCCCUCACUCAUUUCCAGGACGUUCUGCUGCUGUGUGGUCCCUUUCCCUUCUCACAGAGCAAUGAUGAAAGCAGACAGCCAGCGAGACCCCGGGGAGCCGCGCAGUGCAGCCCAUGGCUUCUCUUCCAGCCAAGGCUGUGUGGAGCUGCGGGUCCUCACCCCCAGCUGGGCUCAGCCCACUCCUCCAUUUCCCGUUCGCUUUCUCCCAGAGCAUAUUUUCGGGACGUGGAGAUGUCCCAACCCUCCCUUCCUCCCCAGCGGUAGCGCAUCUCGGAGGGGCCACGAGGGCCGUCGCUGCCGGUCCUGCUCUUCUCGUAAAGCACAGCGAGCUUCUGGCCAGCAGCAGCCAUGCAAUUUCAGAGAUUGAGCAAAUUCCCCCUCCCACCCACUGAGGACCUCCCGGGACCGGCGCACAUCCCACCACAGGCAGCAGCCACCUCGGCCAGCCGCCCAUUGCUGCAACGGCUUGAGUCAAUUGAGACCAUUUCUCAUGCAACCCAUCCAUACCGGAGGUCCCCAGGAGGAGGGUUGGCUCAGGAAAACCUUCAGCCCCAAACCCAGCACUCCCCCAUGCAGCUGACGGAGCACAGCUCACAGCGCAGUGACCCGAAGCGCCGCGCCGUCUGUGCCACGUCCAGCUGGCCCUUCCGCUUUGCUGGCGUGCUCCUUCCUGCUUUUAUUUUGGCUCUUUUUUGUGUGGGUUUUUUUCUUUUUUUUGGCUACGUAUGCGUGCAAGUCCAGAUGGGAGGAAAGGUCAGACUUGCUGAUGGUAAGGCCCAGGCUGAAAUCUGGGUUUGCCCUAAACCCGGGAUGGCUGUGGCUGGAUGAGCCCUGCUGGUGGGCUCAGCCAUCUGCCAGGAGAGCUGCGCCGGGCUCUGCGCUCACACGUUGGGGCUGUUGGAGCUCUGGCUCAUCUCCAUCCCGGUUCUGUCCUUGCCCAC